GAUGAAGAACGUAGCGAAAUGCGAUAAGUAAUGUGAAUUGCAGAAUUCAGUGAAUCAUCGAAUCUUUGAACGCACAUUGCGCCCUCUGGUAUUCCGGGGGGCAUGCCUGUUCGAGCGUCAUUAUAACCACUCAAGCUCUCGCUUGGUAUUGGGGCUCGCGGUUCCGCGGCCCCUAAAAUCAGUGGCGGUGUCUGUCGGCUCUACGCGUAGUAAUACUCCUCGCGGUUGAGUCCGGUAGGUCUACUUGCCAGCAACCCCCAAUUUUUACAGGUUGAUCUCGGAUCAGGUAGGGAUACCCGCUGAACUUAAGCAUAUCAAUAAGCGGAGGA
rnacentral:misc_RNA from 1 species